CGCAUGGAUUCCUCCCACAGCCACGAGCUCAGAGCUCUCCUGCUUUAAGGUAUAAAGAAAAACUAGGAGAAUGCUGGUUUUCAAGUCUGGCUCUGUCUCCACUGUGUUGAGUCAUAUGACUCAUUUCCUUCUCUAGAAAGCAAUGAAACAAGAAUCUGGUCAUGGGAUUUUACCAGUGCAAAGGAUUAAUCCACCCAAUUGAUGGCCAAGAAACCAACCAGUGAGAGCAGGAAGCAAGAACACCUCGAGACAGUUAACUCACAAUUAGGUAUAACUGAAAAUCUCAGGUAAAA
rnacentral:lncRNA from 1 species